rnacentral:rRNA from 1 species
CGGGCGGACGGGUGAGUAACACGUGGAUAACCUACCUAUAAGACUGGGAUAACUUCGGGAAACCGGAGCUAAUACCGGAUAAUAUAUUGAACCGCAUGGUUCAAUAGUGAAAGACGGUUUUGCUGUCACUUAUAGAUGGAUCCGCGCCGCAUUAGCUAGUUGGUAAGGUAACGGCUUACCAAGGCAACGAUGCGUAGCCGACCUGAGAGGGUGAUCGGCCACACUGGAACUGAGACACGGUCCAG